rnacentral:lncRNA from 1 species
GGAAAAAGUUAAACUACAAUCCAGUUACAAAAUCAUUGAUGACCUAUAAUGGUCCAUUUCAUGAGAUGUAACCCAUGUCUGGCACUGCUCAGGUGCUGAGAAUCCUAGGAUUAGAUAACCUUUGGACCUAGAGGAAAACCAAAAACUGUUGUUCUCAAGUUCAAGUCCAAUUGGAACAAGGGCCUCCACAAAAAAACCAGAUACACUAAAACUAAUGAAAGAGAAAAUGGGGAAGACCCUCAAACACAUGGGCUUACAGGAAAAUUUCCUGAACAGAAUACCAAUGUCUUAUGCUCUAAGAUCAAGAAUUGACAAAUACGACCC